UUGGAGGGCAAGUCUGGUGCCAGCAGCCGCGGUAAUUCCAGCUCCAAUAGCGUAUAUUAAAGUUGUUGCAGUUAAAAAGCUCGUAGUUGAAUUUCGGGAUCAGUACGCUGGUCAUGCCUUUGGUAUGCACUGGUGUCACUGGUUUCUCCCUUCUGAAGAUCCGUGAUGUCAUUAAUUUGGUGUCGCGGGAAAUCAGGACUGUUACUUUGAAAAAAUUAGAGUGUUUAAAGCAGGCUCACGCCUGAAUACAUUAGCAUGGAAUAAUGAAAUAGGACGUUUGACCCUAUUUUGUUGGUUUCUAGGAUUGACGUAAUGAUUAAUAGGGAUAGUUGGGGGCAUUAGUAUUCAAUUGUCAGAGGUGAAAUUCUUGGAUUUAUUGAAGACUAACUACUGCGAAAGCAUUUGCCAAGGAUGUUUUCAUUAAUCAAGAACGAAAGUUAGGGGAUCGAAGACGAUCAGAUACCGUCGUAGUCUUAACCAUAAACUAUGCCGACUAGGGAUCGGAUGAUGUUAAUUUUAUAAUGACUCAUUCGACGCCUUACGGGAAACCAAAGUGUUUGGGUUC
rnacentral:rRNA from 1 species